UCCCAAAUAGUCUAGGCGGUUAGGAUACGUGGCUUUCACCCACGCGACCCGGGUUCGAGUCCCGGUUCGGGAA
rnacentral:tRNA from 1 species